AUUCAGCUGACGAAAUCCAAAUAGGACGAAACGCGCGUCCUGAAU
rnacentral:hammerhead_ribozyme from 1 species